UGGGGAAUAUUGCACAAUGGAGGGAACUCUGCUGCAGCGACGCCGCGUGAACGAAGAAGGCUUUCGAGUCGUAAAGUUCUUUUAUAUGGGAAGAUAAUGACGGUACCAUAAGAAAAAGCCCCGGCUAACUACGUGCCAGCAGCCGCGGUAAUACGUAGGGGGCUAGCGUUGUCCGGAAUCACUGGGCGUAAAGGGUUCGCAGGCGGAAAUGCAAGUCAGGUGUAAAAGGCAGUAGCUUAACUACUGUAAGCAUUUGAAACUGCAUAUCUUGAGAAGAGUAGAGGUAAGUGGAAUUUUUAGUGUAGCGGUGAAAUGCGUAGAUAUUAAAAAGAAUACCGGUGGCGAAGGCGACUUACUGGGCUCAUUCUGACGCUGAGGAACGAAAGCGUGGGUAGCAAACAGG
rnacentral:rRNA from 2 species